rnacentral:rRNA from 1 species
GAGUUUGAUCGUGGCUCAGAUUGAACGCUGGCGGCAGGCCUAACACAUGCAAGUCGAGCGGAUGACGGGAGCUUGCUCCUUGAUUCAGCGGCGGACGGGUGAGUAAUGCCUAGGAAUCUGCCUGGUAGUGGGGGGACAACGUUUCGAAAGGAACGCUAAUACCGCAUACGUCCUACGGGAGAAAGCAGGGGACCUUCGGGCCUUGCGCUAUCAGAUGAGCCUAGGUCGGAUUAGCUAGUUGGUGGGGUAAUGGCUCACCAAGGCGACGAUCCGUAACUGGUCUGAGAGGAUGAUCAGUCACACUGGAACUGAGACACGGUCCAGACUCCUACGGGAGGCAGCAGUGGGGAAUAUUGGACAAUGGGCGAAAGCCUGAUCCAGCCAUGCCGCGUGUGUGAAGAAGGUCUUCGGAUUGUAAAGCACUUUAAGUUGGGAGGAAGGGCAGUAAGUUAAUACCUUGCUGUUUGACGUUACCGACAGAAUAAGCACCGGCUAACUCUGUGCCAGCAGCCG